GUGGAGUUUAAGCAAAAAGCUCACACACAUGCACAGGCACUGACCAGAAAGAUGCCACUGAAACCUCGAGAACAUUGCUGGUUUGAAUCUCAUACCAUCAGAUGCCAAGAUCUCGCUGCUUUUGAAUAACCUGGAUGUUCUCAGCAUCGUUUCAUCUGAAAAAUAAGGAAAAAUCUAAUUGAAGAAGAAGUAAACCUGAGAGAAUUGUGGAACAGAGGUAUGAAGGAGGGGCUUGCUAAAGGAAGCCAGGACAGUCUCGCCAUGCAAUUUAAUCACUGUAUACCCAGGAGGAAGCUGCGGUCCUGUGUUUACUGGCACGUUAGAUCCAAGCGUCAGGUGCUCCUGCCAUGAUUAUGAGUGUCCAAUCUACAUCUGUAUGUAAAUAUAUGUCGCUUCUUGCAUUCUAAAAACGGAAUAAUGAUUGCAUCGAGAAGCCUCCUCCUCAAAAAAUUACAUAUUCUAUUAAUAAAUCAAAUAAUAUAUAGAUUAUUUAAUUAAAA
ensembl:lncRNA